AAAUAAAGGAUAGGGAUAUUUGUCUCCUUGGUUCUCCCUCCUCCACUCUCUCUAUUAGCAAGCCCUUCAUCAUCAUCCACAACUUCCCUCUCUCUAUGAGAAGCUGAAUUUCACUCCAAUAUUUCCAUGGCGAAAACCUUAAUUUCAUCAUUCAUCGGAACUCCUUUGCCAUCACUCCCUGGAAAUAUCUUUCACAGGCGAAGGCAGCUUAUUUCUACUAGAGUGAAAUUCAGCUUCCAUGAGCUUCCUCCGAUUCAAUCGCUUCACUCUUCUUUUGAUUUCGAUGCGGUUGUAAGCCGAGCGGAAGGACUUAUAUAUACUUUAGCUGAUGCUGCCGUGGCUGCUGAUCCUACUGCUGUUGCUUCCGAUGCUACUGCUGCUCAGAAAACUGGUGGUUGGUUCGGUUUCAUUUCUGAUGCCAUGGAAGUUGUGUUGAAGGUGAUGAAGGAUGGACUGCAAACUGUGCAUGUGCCUUAUGCCUAUGGAUUUGCAAUCAUAUUGCUUACUCUCCUGGUGAAAGCUGUCACUUUCCCUUUGACAAAGCAACAGGUUGAAUCAACAUUAGCAAUGCAAAAUCUCCAACCAAAGAUCAAAGCUAUUCAACAAAGAUAUGCUGGAAAUCAGGAGAGAAUCCAACUUGAGACUUCGCGUUUAUAUAAGCAGGCCGGGGUCAAUCCUCUUGCUGGAUGUUUCCCAACUUUGGCCACUAUACCAGUUUGGAUUGGUCUUUAUCAAGCUCUCUCUAAUGUGGCAAAUGAGGGAUUGCUGACUGAAGGUUUCUUUUGGAUUCCUUCUUUGGGAGGCCCGACUUCUAUAGCUGCUCGACAGAGUGGAACUGGAAUUUCUUGGCUAUUCCCAUUUGUGGAUGGGCAUCCACCUUUGGGUUGGCAUGACACAGUGGCUUACCUUGUUUUGCCUGUCCUGCUAAUUGUUUCGCAAUAUGUUUCAAUGGAGAUAAUGAAACCUCCCCAAACAGAUGAUCCAGCUCAAAAGAACACACUUCUGGUUUUCAAGUUCCUUCCGCUCAUGAUUGGCUAUUUCUCUUUGUCUGUUCCGUCAGGGUUAACAAUUUACUGGUUCACAAAUAACGUGCUGACCACGGCACAGCAGGUAUGGUUGCGCAAGUUAGGUGGUGCAAAGCCUGCUGUGAGUGGAGAUGCUAGUGGUAUCAUUAGUGCUGGACGUGCAAAGAGAACUACCUCUCAACCUGAACAAUCUGGAGAGAGAUUCAGGCAGCUAAAAGAUGAUGAAAAGAAGAAAAAGGCAACCAAGGCACUCCCUACCGAUAAGGUUGAACUAUCAGCUUCUAUAUCUGAUUCUCAGGACGAACCAGAUGAUGACACCAAGCCCAAGGAUGAAGAAGUUCUUGAAGAGGCUUAUGCUUCUAGCAGUAGUAAAGAAGUUCCGAAUUACUCGGGGCCGAGGAAGAGUAAAAGAUCAAAAAGGAAGCGUGCUGUAUAAAGCGCAUGUGGGCUUUCUUGUACCGAUUCUCCUGCAAACAAUAUUCAUGACUUCAGCUGACAACAAGUGUGGUUGAUGAGAGGGGUUGAGGAGGGUUCAUGAAAGUCUGCAAUGCCGCCGACAUCCGCCGCAGGUAAAAACUCCAACACCACUGCUCCAUCUCUCACACCACCGCCACUGCUAGCCCCUUCCCCUUUUUCCUUUCUUCUCCGGCGAGAAAGCGGUGCUCCAGCGAACUCCAUCAACAACACGGUGACGAACCACAACAUAUAAGUGGUAGUCUGUAGGUGUGAAACCACCAUCUUCACAACCUCCACGUCGCCACAAACACGGCAGAUCUGGCCACAAAACUCUGGCGAAGGGUUGUUGUGUUGUUGUUAUGAAAUUUCCGGCAAAUCUGGCCGAACUAGUGGUUGGUGUUGUUAUAUUCACUAAUACGGCGAUUGUAUUCACUUUUUUGUUAAAUUUUUGGAUUGUAUUCAUUUUUUUAGGGUGUAUUUGUUAAUUUUUGGUGUAUCUAUGUUUUUAUGUAUUCAGUUUUACUCGCUGUAUUCAUGAAUACAGCGAGUCGUUUAUGAAUACAGAUAGUCAUUUCAUGAAUACAGUGAAAAAAAAUAGCAAAAAACGAAUACAGCGAAGAAAAAGUAGCUACGCCAUGUAAAUAUUGAAAAUGUAGCUAUGCCUAAUUUUAAACUCCUAAAAUAUAGUCAUUUAUGUAAAAUGCCCGAUAAGAUUUUAAGCUCAAAUUAUUAGUAAAUGAGAGGCAAACCGUAAACUUCCAUCACUGCUCCUCUAUUUCAAUCUCAUUCUACAUGUCAUGCUUCUCCUUCUCCUCUCUUCUCGCUUCUUCCACCCACCAACGAUCACCACCACAUACCCCUCCAUAUUUUUCUUCGUAUCCACUAUAGGGAACACCAACAUGCCACCGUUUUUCUCUCUUUUUUUUUUUUUUUUUUUUU